GUGAGGAUUUUUCCGCAAUGGGCGAAAGCCUGACGGAGCAAUGCCGCGUGAAGGAUGAAGGCCUAUGGGUUGUAAACUUCUUUUCUCAGAAAAGAAUUAUGACGGUAUCUGAGGAAUAAGCAUCGGCUAACUCUGUGCCAGCAGCCGCGGUAAGACAGAGGAUGCAAGCGUUAUCCGGAAUGAUUGGGCGUAAAGCGUCUGUAGGUUGUUUAAAAAGUAUUCUGUCAAAGAUUAGGGCUUAACCCUAGAUAGGCAGAAUAAACUUUUAAGCUAGAGUUUGGUAGAGGCAGAGGGAAUUCCCGGUGGAGCGGUGAAAUGCGUAGAUAUCGGGAGGAACACCAAAGGCGAAGGCACUCUGCUGGGCCAAUACUAACACUGAGAGACGAAAGCGAGGGGAGCAAAUGGGAUUAGAUACCCUUGUAGUCC
rnacentral:rRNA from 1 species